rnacentral:lncRNA from 1 species
CGACGGCUCUUCGAUCACUUUUUUCCUUUCCCUUAUCCAACUUUGAUCCUCUAGGCUCUUGAGCUAAAUCAAACAAAUUUACUUAUCAAUCAAACACAUAUAUAUGGCAACCAUAUACAUUUCAAAAACCAAUUCGUUCGUAUCAUUUGUCCAUAUAUUAGCUUUUAGCAUAUUUGGUCAUUAGAGUGACCUAUUUAACUUUCAAGCAUUCAUUUCUAAUUUUAAUUAAACAAUGCCGAAUGCCAUUAGCUACUAAUGCCACACACACACAUGUGCAUAAAAUUCAUCCAUACAUAACCUCUAGCUCAUUCGGUCAUUCAUCUCUCAAACCUAUCAAAGUUUCAUGUCGAGCUUCCCUGGCCGAAUACACAUAUAAGCACAUAAUGCACAUUUAGAAUUUUUUUUUAUUUACUUCAUGAUACAUUCGGCCUUGGCAACAAUUUCAUUAGAAAUCCCUAUUAGCCACUUCAUCAAUCAAUUAUAUCAUCUACUUAAUAUUUCAUAACUUAUCAUGCUAGCUGAAUAUUAUUUAUUCAAGUUCAUCAUCUUCAUAUUCGGCAUUAGCAUCAAAUAUAAUAGCCCAUUUCUUCCCACUUUGAAUCUAUGCAUCCAUUUAAUCAUAGUUUGUUCAAGCACUCAUACAACAAGAUUCAUCCAAUUUAACAAGAAACAAAAACUUUAUUCCUCCAUAGCUACAAUGGCCGAAAGAUCUAGACAUCUCAAUACCGAAAUUUCUAACAUGGGUUGCCUAAAGAUUUUGGUAGGGAGUUCAAAUUUAUCUAGCAUUCAAGUAACUUAACACAUCCAUAUAGCUAACAUGCUAAUAGUCUCAAGGCUUCAACUAAAACUUUUGAAGCCUCUUAGUCGAAUACUAACUCUCUAAUAAUCCCAAAUCCAUCUAUGAGAUAGUUAGAAUUUAGACUAAUCAUCCAAGGGAUGUAUGAACUUUCAAAGCAACACUAAACAUACCUUAAUCUAGUGAGCCUUCAUAGCCGAUUUUUCUCCAAGCUCAUUCCCUUCCUUUCUUUCUUCUAUUCGGCCAAAGAUGUUCAAGGAUGAACACUUUUUUUUUUCUUUGUUUCCUUUCUUCCAUUCACGGCAAAGGGGGGGGGCAUGGAUGAGACCAUUUUUUUUUUCAUCACUCCACCUUUUUGCAUUACUUUAAUCCUAACCCCUUUUUUUUAUUCUUUCUAACAUAACUCACUAACACAACAUGUUUGCAACAUGUUUCCACCCAUAGCAUGGCCGGCCACUAUGCUUUAAUUUUGGGUAAUUUGACAUGCAAACCCAUCAUUUCACAACAUGCAUUAUUAGGCCACUUUACAUUUGCCUAGCACAUUUCCAAAUUUUCUCACAUAAGUCCUAUUUGAUAAAAUUCACUUACUAUUAACAAAAUUCAAACAUGAAAUUUUCACACAUGCAUAUGUACAUAUAAUAAGCAUCAACUAUGACGGUUAAUUAUCUUUAUGACUCGGUUUAGUGGUCCCGAAACCACUUUCCGACUAGGGUCACUUUAGGGGUGUCACAUUAGGUAUAAUGCCAGUUGUAAUUUACCUUGUAACUGAACUACUAUGCAACUUGUCAUAUUUGUUGGCAUCUUUUCGAAUGAUAAAUCUUGAACUUUUCCUUACAUAACUUAGAGGAUUUAAAACAAUAGUUUAAUAGAUUGUAUCAUAAUAGAUAUUAAAUAAAGGAAGGAUUUGUUUGAAGAUUUUUGGUUUGCCCAAAUUUCCUUAGUUAAAGAGAUCAUGUUUCUAAAAGAAGUCUACUUCUAGAAUAUUUCUAUAUAUUUUAUUCCAUAUUGAAGACUUACUCCUACACAAUUUAAAGGGAUUGAAGUGAAGUUUUACAAGUAUCUAAACACCUCUUUAAAGAAUGUUUAUUUAUGAUAUUGUGUAUUAUUUUUAUAGAACACUAUUUUGUUCAUUCUUUGGAGUUGUUUUAGUGCAAAUUCUUUGUAAACAAAUUGUUCUUCAUGUUCAAUUUGUAACUAUACUUUCAACGAAAAAGUUGUAGUAGAAAGAGUGAUUAGUUAAUGUAUAGGAGGGAAGCUGCAACUUGGUGAGUGAAUUGAACGUAAACCACAUCUUGUAUUGUGAAUUGAUAGUGUAUUACUAUCUGAGCAAGGCCUCGUAGGUGUAGGAGAAUUUUCAAAACUACAUAACCAACUUUUGUUUCCAUAUUUAUUUGUACUAAUCCAUUUGCUCACUCAAUUGCAAUUGUAGGUAAAUUCAACAACCAUUGGCACUUUUUAUAAUAUAAUAAAGUAUAGUAAAUAAAAUAGAGAUUAAUUAACCAAUUCAUUAGCGAGAGGUAAACCUUAUUAUAAAGAUAAAGAAACAAAGGAAGAACUCAUAUCCUACUUCAAACAAAGUAUACGUUAUAGGUCAACAUAUAUGUAUGUCUACUAACAAAACACGAAGAAUAAUUGAUCAAAUUCAUAGACAUUCCUAUGAAGAAACAUUAUGAUACUAGAACUCAUUCCUUAUUAAGCUUUCGACCCCAUUUGAAAAUUGGUUUAUUUUGUAGCAAAUGCUCCUCCAAAUAGAAGUUUCAAAGUAACAAGUUUAGUCAUUAGUCAAAUUGUAGUAAAUUAGGGAACUUCUUUGAAAAUACAAAAACCAUGAGCUCAAGGAUGAAAUUAUUUGAUAAAAAUACCUUUGUCACCAUUUAAUUUGUAAAAUAAAAUGCAAUACAAUAAUUGAAAGAUAAGUUUUUGUUUAUACAUGACUACAAUAAUAUAUAGUUAAUUUGGCUAAUUCGUAUAAAUAUUUCAAAGUAACAAGCUGUAGGAACAUCGUAAAAUACAGUGUACUCUUAAAAGGGAGGAUUCAAGUUCAAAUCUUGAAGAUGACAUUGUUGGGAAUGGCAACCACAAGCUCUAAAAGAAUCAAUCUUAACGAAUCGUAAAUCAGAUAUAAAAGAUACAUUAAUUCCAAAAAGAAAAAAAAUCAAGAAUUAAGAAUACAUUUUUUUAGAUUUUUUAUUUAAAUAUUGGAUUCCUAAAAGUAACAUUAGAUUACCCAUAAACAUAUCACUUUCAAGAAAUCUUAUUGAAGGAUAUGAAUAGAGGAACCCUUGGAAAAAGGCAUUACCUAUGUAAACAAGUUUCACAUGUGCUUCAAUCAUAUGGUCAUAAGAAAUUGAGAUUGGUUUUUUUGUCUAAUUACCCUUAACACUCAAAAUAGGUGAAUUAUUCGCAAGUUCCAAUUAUCUAAAAUAGGUGAACUAUUCGCAUGUUAGGCCACCAGUAGCUAAAAUAGGUGAAUUAUUAAGCUAAAAAUUAAAUUAUUAGUUAAUUAAUUUCAUUACUUUUAAAGAUUAUAAUAAAUUUGAAAUUUGAAUUCAAUAUUCAGAACCAAUUAUAUGAGCAGAAGCUCAAAAUUGUUAUUAUUUUCCAUAACACUUGAGUACUUAAAAAUUCAAAUCCUUACCUUAAUCAAAAGGAUUAAUUCAUUAUUUAGCUCUCCAAAUAUAUCUGUUUUUCCAUUUUUGUACUUAAAUUUUUUGGCCCAAUUUAGUACUUAAAAUAUCUUUCUAUUAUAAUUAUUAGUCCAAUUCGCUAACAACAUUUUAAAAAAUUGAUGGUCAAUAAAAAUAUAUAAUUUUUAUUAAAUAUAUAUAAACUUGAAAUAAAAAUAAAUAUAAAAAACUAAAAAAAUCCAAAAUAUAUUUUUUAUACUAUAAAAUAUAUAAAUAGAUAUUUUUAAUAAAAAAUUCAAGAUUCAUCUUCUCAUUCAUCAUCAUCAAAAUCCAUCUGAAUUGUUACCAAAAAAAAUUCACUUGGGUUCAUCUUCCAUGAUCACCCACUAACAAUAUCCAUGGUCACUCUCUCCUAUUUUCACUGCGGAAUUCGAAUCAGUUGCAAUAACCCAGAUCGAAAUUGAUGCUCAGCCUUAACUUGCUGGCAAGUCAAAAACUUUGACACAAACUUUGUCCGAAUUUCCUUAGUUAAAGAGAUCAUGUCUCUAAAAAAAGUCUACUUCUAGAAGAUUUCUAUAUAUUUGAUUCCAUAUUGAAGACUUACUCCUGCAUAAUUUAAAGGGAUUGAAGUUUUAUAAGUAUCUAAACACCUCUUUAAAGAAUGUUUAUUUAUGAUAUUAUGUAUUAUUUUGAUAGAGCAUUAUCUUGUUCAUUCUUUGGAGUUGUUUUAGUGCAAAUUCUUUGUAAACAAAUUGUUCUUCAUGCUCAAUUUGUAGCUAUACUUUCAAUGGAAAAGUUGCAAUAGGAAGAGUGAUUAGUUAAUGUAUAGGAGGGAAGCUACAACUUGGUGAGUGAAUUGAACGUAAACCACAUCUUGUAUUGUGAAUUGAUAGUGUAAUACUAUCUGAGCAAGGCCCCAUAGGUGUAGGAAAGUUUUCAAAACUACAUAACCAACUUUUGUUUCCAUAUUUAUUUGUACUCAUCCAUUUGCUCAUCCAAUUGCAAUUGACAGGUAAAUUCAACAACCAUUGGCACUUUUUAUAAUAUAAUAAAGUAUAAUAAAUAAAAUAUAGAUUAAUUAACUAAUUCAUUAGUGAGAGGUAAACCUUAUUAUAAAGAUAAAGAAACAAAGGAAGAACUCAUAUCCAACUUCAAACAAAGUAUAUGUUAUAGGUCAAUAUAUAUGUAUGUCUACUCACAAAACAUGAAGAAUAAUUGAUCAAAUUCAUGGGAAUUCCUAUUAAGAAACAUUUAUAAUACUAGAAAUCAUACCUUAUUGAACUUUCUAUCCCAUUUGAAAAUUGGUUUAUUUUGUAGCAAAUGCUCUUCAAAAUAGAAGUGAUGCGAGUCUCAAAGCCCAAUUUCAUAUCCAUGGAUGUGAUGUGCUCACAUUACCUCAAGGCCCAACAACAAUGUCAAAGGCCAAGCAAAUCAAACCAAGAUUCAAUCAAAUACAAGAUUCGAGGACGAAUUGUUUCGAGGAAAGGGGGAAUGAUACAUGAAUGGAUGGGGAGACAUCUUUUUGGAUGGAAUCUAGGCAUUUCUAGGUUGAGAUUUCUUCUAGAAGUUCGAAGACCUAUCUCUUAGCUUCAAAACACACUUUGAAUCACUCGAUUUCAAGUUUAGGAGAUCAAGUUAUGACCGUUUUAGUGACUACGCGAGUAGAAUUUCUAGACGGGAUUAUGACGGAAAUUACGAGUUUUGAACUUUUAAUUUGAGUUUAAAUCAUAUUGAGUUCGAGUUUUGGGAUUAAUUUUUAUUAUAUAUGACCUAAAUAUUGUACUUGUCAGCUCUUAUUAUUUUAUUGGUUUAUUAUUCCAAAUUUUUAAUAAUUAUUAAGUAGUUUAAGUUAUUUAGGAGUUUCAUGUCAACAAGAAAGUUUAGUUUAAAACUAUUUCUUGUUUAGAUUAAUUAGAGUUCUAGUAUACUUAAGAGUUUUAUUUAGAUUUAUUUAGCUAGCCUAUAUAUAAGCCUUUUCAUUGUACAUAAUUCAUACAAUUCAUUAUUAUUCAAAUUUUCUUUUGAGUUAAUAAAUCAUAUUUGAGUUUUCUUUUUAGUAAUAUCUCUUGAGAUUCUUUUAGAAGAGUUUUAACAAUAUUUUCCAAUUGUGGGGAUCAUCUUCAAACUUUUUCCUACCAAGUUUUCUUUCUUGGAAGGGAAAUUAGAGCCGCUUGAAGGGGGUUGUGAAUUCUUCGUGUUUCUAGGGCUUCUUAAGACUUCUACAUACCACGUUCUAUCUUUUCAUCUAUCUUCUUUAUUUUCUUCCUUAUUGUUCUAAUUGUAUAUUUAUUAUUCUAUUUUAAUCUUUUUAUCUUAUUUGGAUUUGAUUGCAUUUCAAGUUUGUCAAAAUCCAAGUUUCUUUCCCAACGUCUAGAGUCCUAAGUCAAAUCCGCGACUUGAACAACUUUAUAAUCCGCUUCUGCAUUCAUCCGCACUCAUCCAUAUCAAGAAGUUUCAAUGUAACAAGUUUAGUCAUUAGCUUGAUUGUAGUAAACUAGGGAACUUCUUCAAAAAGACAAAAACCUUGAGCUCGAGGAUGAAAUUAUUUGAUAAAAAGACCUUUGUUACCUUCUCAUUUGUAAAAGAAAAUGCAAUACAAUAAUUGAAAGAUAAGUUUUUGUUUAUACAUAACUACAAUAAUAUAUAUUUAAUUAGGCUAAUUCAUAUAAAUUUUUUAAAGUAACAAACAGUAGGUGCAUGGUAAGAUACAUUGUACUCUUAAAGGGGGGAUUCUAGUUCAAAUCUUGAAGAUGACAUUAUUGGAAAUGACAACCACAAACUCUAAAAGAAUCAGUCUUCACGAAUCAUAAAUCAAAUAUAAAAGAUACAUUAAUUCCAAAAAAAAAAAUCAAGAAUUAAGAAUAUAAAUUUUUUUUAAAUUUUUUUAUUUAAAUAUUGCAUUUCUAAAAGUAACAUUAGAUUACCCAUAAACAUAUUACUUUCAAGAAAUCUUAUUGAAGGAUAUGAAUUGAGGAACCCUUGGAAAAAGCUGUUACCUAAGUAAACAAGUUCCACAUGUGCUUGAAUCAUAUGGUCAUAAGAAAUUGGGAUUGGUUCAUUCUAUAAUUGCCCCUAUCACUCAAAAUAGGUGAAUUACUCCAAAGUUAGGCCGCCAAUAGCUAAAAUAGGUGAAUUAUUAAGCUCAAACUUAAAUUAUUAGUUGAUUAAUUUGAUUACUUUGAAAAAUUAUAAUAAAUUUGAAAUUCGAAUUCAAAAUUCAGAACAAAUUAUUAUGAAUCCAAAGCUUUUGAUUUAGUCAAUAAAGCUGAAGCUCAAAAUUCUUAUUAUUUUCCGUAACACUUGAGUAAUUAAUAACUUAAAAUUCUUACCUAAAUCAAAAGGAUUAAUUCACUAUUUAACUCUCGAAAUAUAUAUUUUUUUCUCAUUUUUAUACUUCAAAGUUUUUGGCCCAAUUUAGUACUUAAAAUAUCUUUAUUAUAAUUUUUAGUCCAAUUCUCUAACAACUAAAAAAAAUUGAUGGUCAAUUAAAAUAUAUAAAUUUUAUUAAAUAUAUAUAAACUUGAAAUAAAAAAUAAAUAUAAAAAAAUAAAAAUCUAAAAUAUAUUUUUUAUAAUAUAAAAUAUAUAAAUAGAUAUUUUUAAUAAAAAAUUCAAGAUUCAUCUUCUCCUUCUUCAUCAUCAAAAUCCAUUAAAAAAAGAAAAUUCAUUUGGUUCAUCUUCCAUUAAAUAAUUUGGAUAUCGUCACUCGACAUUCUGGCAUGACUUAUUUAGAUUUGAAGCUUCUUUUCAAGGUUAUGGCAUUUUUAAAGAUUCAUUUGGGUUCAUCUCUCAUUAAUUCUCUUAUAUAAUUAAACCUUUUAAUAAUAAAAAAGAUCUGGAUUCAUCUUUUACUUUUUCUUCAUGGUGUUUGGAUCUUGAUUUCAAGAAUCAAAUUCUUCAUUUGCCCGAGUGCCCAACACCUUCACUAAACCAAGUGCUCAACAUUUGUUCAAAUGAAAAGCACCCAAGGCGUUUUGUGCUUUUUGUUGGUUUUAUUGAGAAAUUUAAAAUAGGGAUUUGGGUAGAGGAGAGAAAGGGGAAGACUCUGGUUGACGGUGAUAUUCGUCCUCGGAGUGGUGGCGGCGAUGUGGCACCUUGGCUUGGUUGUUAAGUGUAAUGAAAAUGGGAUUGGGAAGAAGAUGGAGAAUUUGAAGAAGAAGAAAGGGAACACGAUAAUUUGUGCUCAGCGUUAUCUUUUUAAUAGGGUUGGACAAAACACGUUAGCGAACAAAAUAAAUAAAUAAAAAUAAAUAUUUAUAUAUAAAAUAAAAUAUAAAUAGAAUAAUUUAUAUUUCAAUUUUCAAAGAUGUAAACUAAUAAAAAUGAUAAUAAAAAGUUGAAAUCGAAAAUAAGAAUAGAUAUUUACCAAACGUUGAGGCUUGUUUAACACAGUUUCAUUAAGAAGAUUCGAUCGCUCCUGUGCUACUUGGAGAAACGUUAGUCGAAUGUCUCUCAGGAUACAACAACACAAUGAUCAAAGCAGUAGCACCUUUGCAGCGAUCAAUGAACAAACAUUGCAUUUUUCUAUUAUCGGCAC